CUUGGACCUGCUUGCAUGGGGAAUUGUGACAGAUUACUGGGCCCAUCACCUAGUAGAUGUUACUGUCUAUUUUUUACCUGGAUCCUGCCUACAGAAAGGAUUGUGACAAAUCAGUGGGCCAAGCAUCCCGGUGACGUGGCUCUUCUGUCUUAGCAAUUCCUAUAGUUGGAAUAGUGACAUAAACCUGGGUCAAGCAUCUGGGGUAAUUUGUGACAUACUGCUGGACCCAGCACCCAGGUCAUUUGACUCUCCUGCCUUGGCCCUUCCCACAGAGGGCAUUGUGACAUUGAGUGGGCUCAGCAGCUAGGUGAUACGACUUUCCUGCCAGGACUCUUCCAACAGAAGGGACAUUGACCUACUCAGGCUCAGUAUUCAGCCAAUAGAUGAAAAAAGAUUCAAGGAAGACACAUUUGCUUUUUAUUCACUCAUCACUUCCCAUCACUAUGCUGACCAGAGUCAAUGUGAGCAGAGUUGAGAAUAGCAGUUUUCUGGCAGGAGAGCCACUUCUCAGCAAAAAAUGACACACUCAAAGUAUAAAUCUUUCAUGGAAGGCUCACAUAUUUUCAGCAAAUUAAGCAUAUGCAUGAAUAAAAUUCUUGUGGUGAAAUAAAGAUUCAUUUUAUUGAUUCCUAUUGAGCUCAGGUAAUAUUGGAUGAAAAGCAAAAAAAUUAUUUGAAAUAGAAAUAUUGUGAAUAAAGUUAUUGUCA
rnacentral:lncRNA from 10 species